UCUUCGUUAGUGUGUUAAUUGAGAGAUGCGAAGGAAUGUGUGGCUUCUCCUGUCACGGUCUGCUGUGUGUGUGUGUGUGUGUGUGUGUGUGAGUAGCAUGUGUGUCCUAAAUUUUGUGAACGUGAAUGUCAAGGGUAAACUGAACGCAAAUGUUUGUUAAUAAAAUUCAGUGAAUGUGUGUGUGUGUGUGUGUGUGUGUGUGUGUGGAGCGAGGUGAACGGUAGUAUCUGUCGGUGCCUCCUCCUCCUCCUUCUCCUCCUCCCAGGGCCGCCAGGUGGGCACGUCGCGGCACCAGGGAGAGAGGGCCAAUCAGUGCCACGCUCCCGCCUGCACAGAUCGACCAAUGCAACUGAGAGAUGAGCGAAAGUCAAGGAGAAUCAUUAAUAAUCCUUGGAAGUUUGGCCACAUGACUGGAGGUUAAUACACUUGAUAAUGAUAACGAACGAAAGCAAACAACAAGGUCACAAGUAAACACCGCAACACUAGUAACACCUGAAGAACACGAGAGAGAAGAGUCUAGCAGUGAGAAAAGACGAUAUUCAGCAGAAAUGUUUUAACUUGUCUAACAUUCCUAACAUUCACCAGAAAAAAAAAGAAAACUAAAGAAGUAAUGAAACAAAAUAAAGUAAAAGAAAUAAAAUAAACUGAUGAAAAAUAAAAUUAAUGAAAAAAAAAGUAAAAAAAAAGAGCACUUCUGAUUAAUUCUUUAAUUUCUCACAAGCACACUCAGUUCAAUCAGUAACACACCUGGCGCACAACACCUGUUAAUGAUCUCAGGCACUAUCGGCUGCAGUAAAAAAUGCACCAGUUCUGCUCCAUAUAUUCAGCUUCAACCUCAGCGUCACCUCCUACCUGACGGAGGCUAUUUACCUGUGACUGAACCCCCUCGAGUCUAAACCUCAGAGCAUCAACAGGUACGGUGCCAGCCUACAGCCACGCCACCGUCAGCCACACCAGCAGCGCCAACGUGCCCAUGCCUCCCUGCCCCUGCCCGCCCCUGCCGUGCCCUCAUUACCCAGUGCGCCCGGCAGGAGGAGUCACGCCCGCGCCGCCGCCACAUCGCCUCCAGCGCCACGUGUUUCAGCCGCAGCGACCCAAAAUGUUCGAAUUUCCCCAGCGCGCCUCACAUUCCUCCGCCAGGUUAACCGCGGCCCGCCACGCCCAUCAGCGGGCGGCACCACAAACACUCACCGUCUAUCAGCCGCCCCUCUAAUGCAGUCACCCCGCCUGCCGCACUCCACUUGUGAGAUAAGACUUAUCUCUCGAGUAUAGAGGAGUUGCGGUGCUGGCAGUGAUGUUGGUGAUGGUGGUGACAAAGGAAAGCACGAGGAGACGACACAAGAGGAGGAGGAGGAGGAGGAGGAAGAUCGUAACUAGGAAAAGGAUGGUAAAAAGAGAUGAAAUUGUUAGAGGAGGAGGAGGAAAGGAAGAGAAAGAAAAGAGGAAAGGAGAUGACAGAGUAGGAAAGGAGAAAGGAUAAGAACAAGAACAAGAAAUUAGAAACGCAAGAAUAAAAAACAUCCAAUUCAACAACAACAACAACAACAACAAUAAAUACAAACAGGAAUCAAAACAGAGGUACUUGUUGUGUAUGCAAAUGAGGUGAGGAAACAAGACCCUAACAUUUUGCAA